rnacentral:lncRNA from 1 species
UGCUUGUCAAUCUGUAUCCCAUUCUUCAGGUAUAGUUUUCUUUGAUCACAGAUCGACAGGUGAUCCGUCCUUUCUCCCCCUUUCGUCAUAAGGCGUGGUCUGACUCUGAGAAAAGAAAUUCCUGUGUUUAGGUCCCUACUAAGCAGAAUUCGUAAACUAUGCAAAGGCUCUUUGAAGACUUUUUCCAAAGUUUUUAGCAAAAAAAGCAAAAACAAUUCUCAACGCCCUUACGAGGUAGUGAUGAGUUAAACUACUCGUGUUGGCAUGGAAGUCAGCCCGGUAAACUGAUUCCAUUCUGCUACUAGGGUUCCAAACCUUCCCCUGAGCUCUAGAAUCUAUAAAUACCUUUUCAACUCAAGAAAUGCUAAAGCUAUUUAGAGUUGGUAUUUCUAACUAAGUCGGAAGGAGGGCUUUGGGCAAAGAGCAAGUNCCGCAAGUGCAUUCGCUAUUCGAUUCCAUCCUAAAUCCCACCAAUUCCAAAGUGUGUAUCUCUUCUUUACUUUUAAGUGACAAGGGGGGUGACAAAGGGUAUACUUUCUUCUCUAUGUCGCCGUCUCAUCAAUGAGCGUAGAUUAAUAGCCAAGCCUACCCUUUUGUGCUUGUCAAUCUGUAUCCCAUUCUUCAGGUAUAGUUUUCUUUGAUCACAGAUCGACAGGUGAUCCGUCCUUUCUCCCCCUUUCGUCAUAAGGCGUGGUCUGACUCUGAGAAAAGAAAUUCCUGUGUUUAGGUCCCUACUAAGCAGAAUUCGU